UUGGGAGUCUACAGUUCCCUGGGUUCUCUGGAUAUCACAUCACUGCUUCCAGCACCAGGGUGAUUCAAGAGGCAGAAUAUCACAGCUGGGGCUGAGCCAUUUCAUCCUUCGGUUCUUCCAGAACUCCUGCACUAAUAUCCUCUUGUCUGAUGAUUUGUUGGUGUUCCUUUCUCUAUCUGCCUUACGACCUCUCUUACUCACAAUUCAAUCUCAGAAAGAUCCUGAGCCCCCCUAAACAAGGUUCUGGUCUGGGAACUUCUGGUGCUCGCAGCUGUUCCAUCAUAUGUCUGCCAUUGACAGGUAAGCAAUCACGGCCUUGGUCAAUACUUGCAGGUUUAAUAUUGGAUGCUUCUGCUGUUCCCUGGGGAGAGGUAAGUGAUGUAAUGGAACUGACAAUCAUUUGAGUGAGCUGCUCCUCUCUGACCUAGAUUUGGUCCCAGUCCUAUACAGAUGCUGCAUUAUGUAAACAGAGCACGCACACAUCUCUCUCUGGGUAUAAGAGAUGCAAGCAUAAAACCUCGUGUGAACAGAUGCUGAGAAUAUACAAUUCAGCCUUUGAUAACCUCCCGUUACUAUUAACCUAUGGCAGCUGAGAUCAUAUAUUAGUAAUACUUGGCCAUAAUUUUAAGUGACUCAAAAAAAUACCCCCCAAUUAAAUCACUUCAUGGAGCAGGUAGAGAUUUGAUUUACAGCUCUGCUGCUUUCAUAAUGGGUUAUUCCAUUGGGGCAAGAAAUGUAUUGCAUCUCCUUGAAUUUUUAAUGUGUGAAUAGUUUGUAAAUAAUUGAUAAAGCCUGUCCUUUAUUGUUGAUUUGUUGUUUUUUUCCUAUUUUUUUUUUCCCACCAUUGAAGGAAAUAACAUUAGUCAGAAGUUUGAAGUUUAAGUCGUCGUCUCUUCCCAAGGUUCAGGGGAAAUGAAAACAAACAGGUAGUUUCCUUGCAGGAGAGAAAGGAUUCCCUGAACACUGUGACAGGACCAAUUGCUGGACCUUGGCCUUAUGGGGAAGGAAAACAUUGCCCAUUAGGAAUCGAAUUUGCUGUUAUGGCUACAGAAGACAACUUUGUUGGAAUGCUUGUAGCCCAGGAGGAAGUGUUCAGUGCACCAACUGGAACGGAGCAAGCUAGGAAGGGACUUCCGCAGGAGGGGCUGCAAAUCUUCCCAGCCAUCACAGGAGCAGCGCAGCCCUGGUCCUGAGGAGGCGAUUAAGAAUCAAGGGCCUGUGACAAAUAGCCCUUCAGAGGAAGUUAGCUUUUGUGGGAGCAACUUGAGCUGACCCUUGAAGUAGGGUAGUUGCCCAGAAACGAUAUGUCCAGAAGGCGACAGUGAGGUCUCCCUGGAUCCAUCUCUUCUCCAGGCUGAACGAGCCCAUCUCCUGCAAUCUGUUUUCACAGAGGAGUGCUCCAUCCCUCUGAGCAUCUUCAUGGCCUCCUCUGGGCCCACUCCAACAGCUCCAUGGCCUUGUGCUGGAGG